UUGUAACGUUACAAACGUCACAUCUUUGAUAUUUUAUUUUUAAAUAAUUAUUUUACCUUAUUUCCUUUAAUAUUUCAUUAAUCAUUAUCUUCUUCUAUUUGGUUUACCCAUUUCCCCUUUAAAAAUUGGUUGGCGCUCGUUCUAUAAUAGGCAACCCUAUUUACAUUGUAUCUUCUCUCGUGUUUCAUGUUCGUUAUUUCAAAUUUCGGUCCAAGGUUCGUUGUCAUGUCAUUUUAAUGACAGUGACAACUCCCAUAUCUCAUUCUCAAAAUGGAGGUGGAAAUGUUUUAAAAGGCAGAGCAGCUUGAAAAAUAAAUCAUUUUAUUUCAACAAAUCAUCUUCCUCUUGGGUUUUUGGGAAUAAAAGCACUUUCCUCCCUCCGGGAGCUGCAAGCAUCCUCAAAUCGCCGGCGAUAGAACAACGAGGACCAUGUCAUCAGGGCUGCAACCGCAUUACCAAGACUGCAACGACCAACAUCCGUAGGCCUGGUGGAAUACAACACCUACAACCCCAGAGCCUGUUGCAGAAUCAGCAGCAGUACCAUACGACAUCAAGAAGAUACCAUCAACUACCAAAAGCCAUAAGUAUAAUCCAGAAUUGUUAGUUUUUGGCAAGAAUUUGAAUACAUUUGUUAAUGCAAUUUACAAGUCAUUUUAUUUAUUAUAUCUUUAUGAACAAUAAACAUGAUUAGUUAAAAACUAUGUUUUGUUUGCUUCCAUUCCAAUUUUCAGAGUUCAUUCUAAGGUUAGGACAAGACGAACACACACCUGAGUGACUGAGCUAAGCUAAGGGUGUAACGAUGGCUAUCUUGGUUAGUUGAGGUAAUAUUUUCGAAUAUUGUUUCAAUUAGCUGGGGUAGUCCAUCGCUAACUCGUUACACUGGCGCACCAACGCACUUGUCUUAUCUGAAGAAUAGAAUGUUGAAUUUUGGUUUGGUGCAAGCAUACAAGCAUUAAUAAAUACUAUUUUCAUAUUUUUCAUUUUUAUAUUCAAUUUUUGCAGUAAAUCUAUAUAUAUUAUCUAUUUUGGUACUUUUUGACUAAUUUUUAUAUAUUAAACGCUAAUUUCAGAUUAUGGGUCAAAAAAGUAUUACCAGUUGCAAUAAUUUAAUUAUAUAUUUCAGCAUAAUUGAUUUAAAAUACAUUUACAGUUGCAAAUAUUGGUAUUUUAACAUUUUGAUACUUUUUACCUACUUUUUUUUGGCUAAUUUUUAUGUUAGAACCUUGAUAGUAAUGUCCACAUGGCAUUUUUUUUUUCUGUUUUUUCAAUUUAACCAGUUUUUUUUUGUAGUUCUUCUUUAAUUACUUUCAUAUUUUGUUGUAACUUUCCAAAACCCAAGAGAAUUUUUCCAUUUAUUGUCAUAUUUUCUGUACUUUUUAUACAUACUAUUUCUUCUACGUUCUUUUCAUAGGUACUUCUGUGUAGUCUAAAGUGCAUUUAAAUCUUGUUUUAUUACUUAUUUUCGAUUACUUUUUACUUAUUCUUAUUUUUCCUAGUUGUUUUCAUAUAUUUAUUACCAAUUUUGUACAACUACCAAAAAUUUUGUUGUUUCCGUCGAACUUUCUGUUCGGAUGGUAUAUACUACUUUACUUGUAUAGUAAAGACUAGGACAAUUUUCAAGUUCUUUUCUUUCAUUGAGGUAUUUUAUUCUUAUUUUUCUUCUUUACGUAUUCAGAAUAUUAAUUUAAAUCAUUCUUCUUCUUCUUGUGUUGAAUCUCAAAAAAUUUUUUGUUCGUAAAGCAUGAUAUUUUACAUUUUUCAAUUUUUUGCAUUAGUGCACUUAUAUUAAUUAUGAUAAACAUCAUAUUUAACAUCUUUUUUAUUUAACAAUGCCCUAUUUAUCUAUAUAUUAUUGUUUUAUUAUUUUAUUUUGGGUGUUGUACUGAUUUUUGAUACAGAUUAGCACAAAAGCCUCAUCCGGCACUUAUAAGUUGUGUAUGGCUUAUAUAUAGCUGCAUAGACACCUAGUGUUUUUUUUUCUCCUAGGGUACAUAUAAGUUAUCCAUAGGGUUGGGCCAGAUCUAUUGAGUCUGAGUUCCGUUUUUUUUGGUCUUAAUGACUGUUGAUAUACAGUUUAAUGCUGUAUAUUAUUUUUAGGAUGAUGUCUUUUAUAAAUUUUCUCUUUUGAAGUUAAAAUAAUUCUAUGCAUCUCUACUCUUCAUGAGCCUCUGGUGUAGAAUUAUGGCGCUUUGAAGUAUGAUUGUAGUUUAACUACUAGCAUUUGUUAUUUUCCAUCUUUGCAAAUCAUAUUUAUGCAUUUUUAUACAUAUAUUUUGUUCUUUAGUGUAGAUCCCUGGUAUGCAUUUGAUGGAAGUAGCAUUUGCAUUAUGUAUCAUUAUCUCUCUCUUUAUUAACUUAUUGGUUAAGUCUUUUAUGACUAGUUUUAUGCAGUUUUUUUAAACCCUUUGGUGUAGAACUUUGUCUUAUUUGGCUUUCCAUGUAGUUGGUACUUAUUUUUUUUAAUGGUUUAUCUAUAGUUCCACUUGCAUUUCUUUUUAUUAUAUUAUAUUUAUAUUAUCUUUAUCUACUUAUAUGCUUUUACUUACCUUGUCAUAUUGAUUAUUAUUUUUAUUACCUUACUUUCCGUACUUGAGUUAUCCAGGGUACUGGUGUUUUGUUAUGAGAUUCACUUCUUAGUAGCUCCAUUAGCUAUUUAUUUUAUUAAGGAUGUAAUAUCCAUUAUAUAAUUACUUAGAUUUGGUUAUACAUAAUAUGCCUUCUAUAUUAUAUAGAUACCUGAAUAUUUGCAUGAUUUUUAUAAAUACCAAUAUUAUUUGACUUUUGAUUAAAAGUCAUUUACAUUAUUUAUCUUUCAUUAUUACUUGGACUUGGAUUAUUAGUUAAAUUUGAUUAUUUCUUAGACUUUAUACUACAUGUCUUUAUAAUUUUGAAUUAAUUUCAUACUUUUUAAAGUACAUUUAUUUUUUUAUCCAGAGAUAGAUAUUCUCUGAUGUCAUUUAUUUAUAAUGAAUAAAUAUUUUACAGUGUGAUGAAUACUACAAUUCAUUGGGUAAUAUUUUUAUUUUCCCCAGAGUAACAUCUGAAAAUUAUUUUGGUACUUUAAAAUUUUUUAUGAAUAAUAAUUUAAAUUAACGAUAUACAUUGACUUAAUAAUUACUUUAUUAUGAGUAUUUAUUUUUGAUUUGUUUUGAACGAUUACUACUGCAUAUAUUUAUUUCUGGUUAGAACUUUGUCUUCUUAUUUUCUUUGAGAAAAAUUUCUCACCUGUGUUCGAAAUUUUUCUGAUGAGUGGAGGGAGUGUGUAACAUUCCUGUUUUCUUUGAGAAAAAUUUCUCACGUGUGUUCAAAAUUUUUCUGAUGGGUGAGAGGAGUGUGUAACGUUACAAACGUCACAUCUUUGAUAUUUUAUUUUUAAAUAAUUAUUUUACCUUAUUUCCUUUAAUAUGUCAUUAAUCAUUAUCUUCUUCUAUUUGGUUUACCCAUUUCCCCUUUAAAAAUUGGUUGGCGCUCGUUCUAUAAUAGGCAACCCUAUUUACAUUGUAUCUUCUCUCGUGUUUCAUGUUCGUUAUUUCAAACUUCGGUCCAAGGUUCGUUGUCAUGUCAUUUUAAUGACAGUGACAACUCCCAUAUCUCAUUCUCAAAAUGGAGGUGGAAAUGUUUUAAAAGGCAGAGCAGCUUGAAAAAUAAAUCAUUUUAUUUCAACAAAUCAUCUUCCUCUUGGGUUUUUGGGAAUAAAAGCACUUUCCUCCCUCCGGGAGCUGCAAGCAUCCUCAAAUCGCCGGCGAUAGAACAACGAGGACCAUGUCAUCAGGGCUGCAACCGCAUUACCAAGACUGCAACGACCAACAUCCGUAGGCCUGGUGGAAUACAACACCUACAACCCCAGAGCCUGUUGCAGAAUCAGCAGCAGUACCAUACGACAUCAAGAAGAUACCAUCAGCUACCAAAAGCCAUAAGUAUAAUCCAGAAUUGUUAGUUUUUGGCAAGAAUUUGAAUACAUUUGUUAAUGCAAUUUACAAGUCAUUUUAUUUAUUAUAUCUUUAUGAACAAUAAACAUGAUUAGUUAAAAACUA